rnacentral:rRNA from 1 species
AACGAACGCUGGCGGCAGGCCUAACACAUGCAAGUCGAACGAGUAAGAGCCGUAGCAAUACGGAGUUCUGCUAGUGGCGCACGGGUGAGUAACGCGUGGGAACGUGCCUUGGAGUUCGGGAUAACAGUUGGAAACGACUGCUAAUACCGAAUAUUCCCUCAGGGGAAAGAUUUAUCGCUCCAAGAUCGGCCCGCGUAAGAUUAGGUAGUUGGUGGGGUAAUGGCCUACCAAGCCUACGAUCUUUAGCUGGUCUGAGAGGACGACCAGCCACACUGGAACUGAGACACGGUCCAGACUCCUACGGGAGGCAGCAGUGGGGAAUAUUGGACAAUGGGCGAAAGCCUGAUCCAGCCAUGCCGCGUGAAUGAUGAAGGCCUUAGGGUUGUAAAAUUCUUUUGUCAGGGGAAGAUAAUGACGGUACCCUGCGAAUAAGCUCCGGCUAACUUCGUGCCAGCAGCCGCGGUAAU